UACGUAGGGGGCAAGCGUUGUCCGGAAUCAUUGGGCGUAAAGAGCGUGUAGGCGGCCCGGUAAGUCCGCUGUGAAAGUCCAGGGCUCAACCCUGGGAUGCCGGUGGAUACUGUCGGGCUCGAGUCCGGAAGAGGAGUGUGCAAUUCCUGGUGUAGCGGUGGAAUGCGCAGAUAUCAGGAGGAACACCAGCGGCGAAGGCGGCGCUCUGGGCCGGUACUGACGCUGAGGAGCGAAAGCGUGGGGAGCAAACAGG
rnacentral:rRNA from 1 species